rnacentral:rRNA from 1 species
UGGCCGGGCUUUUUUUCCGGCCCCCCACUCUCUGGGGGGGGACCCCCCGGGUAAAAACCCCCGGGAGGGCGGCUUUUGCGGUUUAUUGGGAAACCCAGGGCCAUGUUGGGGACCCCGGGGCGCCAUCUCGGGCAUGGAUUUGCAGGGAACUUUUCAACCGUUGAGAGCCUGUUUAACAUUCUGGAGAAGGUUGUAUCUGGUGAGCGUCGGAAUAAGCGGUAUCGUCACACCGUAUAUAGUCCACGUAUGAAUCUGGCUAAAGUGCAGCGUUGCAAGCGAUGAUUCCGACUUACUGGAAUCAUGGGCUCCGCUGAUGUCAGAGGGGUAGAUCCCGGUACAUGAAUGGUAGAGAUGUGGGGAUCCGAUGCGAGCAGCCCCUGGAUACAUGCGUCAUGCCGAAAGGUGGGACAACAGAUUAGAUACCUGGUAGUCCACCCCUAACGAUGUCAACUAGUUGUUGGGAUUCAUUUCUUAGUACGUAGCUACGCGUGAAGUUGCCGCUGGGGAGUACGGUCGCAAGAUUAAACUCAAAGGAAAUGACGGGGACCCGCACAAGCGGUGGAUGAUGUGGAUUAUUCGAUGCAACGCGAAAAACUUACCUACCCUUGACAUGCCACUAUCGAAGCAGAGAUGCAUUAGGUGCUCGAAAGAGAAAGUGGACACAGGUGCUGCAUGGCUGUCGUCAGCUCGUGCCGUGAGAUGUUGGGUUAAGUCCCGCAACGAGCGCAACCCUUGUCUCUAGUUGCUACGAAAGGGCACUCUAGAGAGACUGCCGGUGACAAACCGGAGGAGGGUGGGGAUGACGUCAAGUCCUCAUGGCCCUUAUGGGUAGGGCUUCACACGUCAUACAAUGGUGCAUACAGAGGGUUGCCAAGCCGCGAGGUGGAGCUAAUCCCAGAAAAUGCAUCGUAGUCCGGAUCGUAGUCUGCAACUCGACUACGUGAAGCUGGAAUCGCUAGUAAUCGCGGAUACACGCAUGCCUCGGUAUUCCCCCG